GUAACUACAUGUGCAUAAUUUUCACUGGGUUGAUAUAGUGAAGAUUAGCAUCUCCCCUGCACAAGGAUGACACACAAAUCUAGAAAUCUAUGUUGUGUUU